rnacentral:rRNA from 1 species
UACGGGGGGGGCAAGCGUUGUUCGGAAUUACUGGGCGUAAAGGGCGCGUAGGCGGUUUGUUAAGUUGAAUGUGAAAACUCUGGGCUUAACCCAGAGCCUGCAUUCAAUACUGGCAGGCUGGAGUUCUGGAGGGGAUAGCGGAAUUCCUGGUGUAGCGGUGAAAUGCGCAGAUAUCUGGAGGAAUACCGGUGGCGAAGGCGGCAUCCUGGACCGGCAUUGACGCUGAUGAGCGAAAGCUAGGGGAGCAACAGGG